GACAGCAUGGUGUAGUGGUUUGAGCACUGGAUUAGAACUCUGGAUAUUAGGGUUUAAUUCCCUGUUCAGCCA